GACGAACGCUGGCGGCGUGCUUAACACAUGCAAGUCGAACGGAAAGGCCCUGCUUGCAGGGUACUCGAGUGGCGAACGGGUGAGUAACACGUGGGUGAUCUGCCCCGCACUUCGGGAUAAGCCUUGAAAACUGGGUCUAAUACCGGAUAGGAGCCAUCUUGCGUGUGAUUGUUGGAAAGUUUUUUCGGUUUGGGAUGAGCUCGCGGCCUAUCAGCUUGUUGGUGGGGUAGGGGCGUACCAAGGCUGCGAGGGGUAGCAGGCCUGAGAGGGUGGACGGCCACAUUGGGCCGGAGAUACGGCCCAGCCUGAUCGGGGAGGCAGCGGUGGGGAAGAUAGUACAAGGGGAGGCAGCAGACUGCAGCACAGCCGUGUGAGGGAGGAUGGGAAGCGGGUUGUAAACCGCUUUCGCCUGUGACGAAGCGAGAGUGACGGUAAUGGGUAAAGAAGCACCGGCUAACUCCGUG
rnacentral:rRNA from 1 species